rnacentral:rRNA from 1 species
CCUGAGUACGACGGAGCACGUGAAAUUCCGUCGGAAUCUGGGAGGACCAUCUCCUAAGGCUAAAUACUCUCUAGUGACCGAUAGUGAACCAGUACCGUGAGGGAAAGGUGAAAAGUACCCCGGAAGGGGAGUGAAAGAGAACUUGAAACCGUGUGCUUACAAGUAGUCAGAGCCCGUUAAUGGGUGAUGGCGUGCCUUUUGUAGAAUGAACCGGCGAGUUACGAUCUGAUGCAAGGUUAAGCAGAAAAUGUGGAGCCGUAGCGAAAGCGAGUCUGAAUAGGGCGAAUGAGUAUUUGGUCGUAGACCCGAAACCAGGUGAUCUACCCUUGGUCAGGUUGAAGUUCAGGUAACACUGAAUGGAGGACCGAACCGACUUACGUUGAAAAGUGAGCGGAUGAACUGAGGGUAGCGGAGAAAUUCCAAUCGAACUUGGAGAUAGCUGGUUCUCUCCGAAAUAGCUUUAGGGCUAGCCUCAAGUGAUGAUUAUUGGAGGUAGAGCACUGUUUGGACGAGGGGCCCCUCUCGGGUUACCGAAUUCAGACAAACUCCGAAUGCCAAAUAAUUUAACUUGGGAGUCAGAAUGUGGGUGAUAAGGUCCAUAUUCGAAAGGGAAACAGCCCAGACCACCAGCUAAGGUCCCAAAAUAUAUGUUAAGUGGAAAAGGAUGUGGCGUUGCCCAGACAACUAGGAUGUUGGCUUAGAAGCAGCCAUCAUUUAAAGAGUGCGUAAUAGCUCACUAGUCGAGUGACACUGCGCCGAAAAUGUACCGGGGCUAAACAUAUUACCGAAGCUGUGGAUUGUCCUUUGGACAAUGGUAGGAGAGCGUUCUAAGGGCGUUGAAGCAUGAUCGCAAGGACAUGUGGAGCGCUUAGAAGUGAGAAUGCCGGUGUGAGUAGCGAAAGACGGGUGAGAAUCCCGUCCACCGAUUGACUAAGGUUUCCAGAGGAAGGCUCGUCCGCUCUGGGUUAGUCGGGUCCUAAGCUGAGGCCGACAGGCGUAGGCGAUGGAUAACAGGUUGAUAUUCCUGUACCACCAUUAUUCGUUUUAAGCGAUGGGGGGACGCAGUAGGAUAGGCGAAGCGUGCUGUUGGAGUGCACGUCCAAGCAGUGAGAUUGAGUGUUAGGCAAAUCCGGCACUCUUAAGAUUGAGCUGUGAUGGGGAGAGGAACUUGUUCCUCGAGUCGUUGAUUUCACACUGCCGAGAAAAGCCUCUAGCUAGAAUAACGGUGCCCGUACCGCAAACCGACACAGGUAGUCAAGAUGAGAAUUCUAAGGUGAGCGAGCGAACUCUCGUUAAGGAACUCGGCAAAAUGACCCCGUAACUUCGGGAGAAGGGGUGCUCUUUGAGGUUCACGCUUCGAAGAGCCGCAGUGAAUAGGCCCAAGCGACUGUUUAUCAAAAACACAGGUCUCUGCUAAACCGUAAGGUGACGUAUAGGGGCUGACGCCUGCCCGGUGCUGGAAGGUUAAGAGGAGUGGUUAGCGCAAGCGAAGCUACGAAUCGAAGCCCCAGUAAACGGCGGCCGUAACUAUAACGGUCCUAAGGUAGCGAAAUUCCUUGUCGGGUAAGUUCCGACCCGCACGAAAGGCGUAACGAUUUGGGCACUGUCUCAACGAGAGACUCGGUGAAAUCAUAGUACCGGUGAAGAUGCCGGUUACCCGCGACAGGACGGAAAGACCCCGUGGAGCUUUACUGUAGCCUGAUAUUGAAAUUCGGUACAGUUUGUACAGGAUAGGUAGGAGCCUUAGAAGCGUGAGCGCUAGCUUACGUGGAGGCAUUGGUGGGAUACUACCCUAAUUGUAUUGGAUUUCUAACCCGCAGCACUUAUCGUGCUGGGAGACAGUGUCAGGCGGGCAGUUUGACUGGGGCGGUCGCCUCCUAAAGAGUAACGGAGGCGCUCAAAGGUUCCCUCAGAAUGGUUGGAAAUCAUUCAUAGAGUGUAAAGGCAUAAGGGAGCUUGACUGCGAGACCUACAAGUCGAGCAGGGUCGAAAGACGGACUUAGUGAUCCGGUGGUUCCGCAUGGAAGGGCCAUCGCUCAACGGAUAAAAGCUACCCCGGGGAUAACAGGCUUAUCUCCCCCAAGAGUUCACAUCGACGGGGAGGUUUGGCACCUCGAUGUCGGCUCAUCGCAUCCUGGGGCUGUAGUCGGUCCCAAGGGUUGGGCUGUUCGCCCAUUAAAGCGGUACGCGAGCUGGGUUCAGAACGUCGUGAGACAGUUCGGUCCCUAUCCGUCGUGGGCGUAGGAAAUUUGAGAGGAGCUGUCCUUAGUACGAGAGGACCGGGAUGGACAUACCUCUGGUGUACCAGUUGUCGUGCCAACGGCAUAGCUGGGUAGCUAUGUAUGGACGGGAUAAGUGCUGAAAGCAUCUAAGCAUGAAGCCCCCCU